rnacentral:rRNA from 1 species
GCAGCAGGCGCGAAACCUUUACACUGCACGCCAGUGCGAUAAGGGGACUCCGAGUGCGAGGGCAUAUCGCCCUCGCUUUUCACGACCGUAGGAUGGUCGUGGAACAAGCGCUGGGCAAGACCGGUGCCAGCCGCCGCGGUAAUACCGGCAGCGCAAGUGACGGCCGAUUUUAUUGGGCCUAAAGCGUCCGUAGCUGGCCAGGCAAGUCCAUCGGGAAAUCCACCCGCUCAACGGGUGGACGGCCGGCGGAACCUGCCAGGCUUGGGACCGGAAGACCCAACGGGUACGUCCAGGGUAGGAGUGAAAUCCCGUAAUCCUGGACGGACCGCCGAUGGCGAAAGCACGUUGGGAAGACGGAUCCGACAGUGAGGGACGAAAGCUAGGGUCUCGAACCGGAUUAGAUACCCGGGUAGUCCUAGCCGUAAACGAUGCUCGCUAGGUGUGGCACAGGCUACGCGCCUGUGCUGUGCCGUAGGGAAGCCGCUAAGCGGGCCGCCUGGGAAGUACGUCCGCAAGGAUGAAACUUAAAGGAAUUGGCGGGGGAGCACUACAACC